UCAGGAUGAACGCUAGCGGCAGGCUUAAUACAUGCAAGGCGAAGGGGCAGCAAUGUCACUGUCGUACGGGUGCGUAACGCGUAUGCAACCUACCUAUCACUGGGGGAUAGCCCGGGGAAACCCGGAUUAAUACCGCAUAAAACAGGGGCACCGCAUGGUGAUAUUUGUUAAAGAUUUAUUGGUGAUAGAUGGGCAUGCGUUCGAUUAGCUAGUUGGCGGGGUAACGGCCCACCAAGGCGACGAUCGAUAGGGGAGCUGAGAGGUUGAUCCCCCACACGGGCACUGAGAUACGGGCCCGACUCCUACGGGAGGCAGCAGUAGGGAAUAUUGGGCAAUGGAUGCAAGUCUGACCCAGCCAUGCCGCGUGCCGGAUGAAGGCCCUCAGGGUUGUAAACGGCUUUUAUUCGGGAAGAAGAGCAGGGAUGCGUCCUUGUGUGACGGUACCGAAUGAAUAAGCA
rnacentral:rRNA from 1 species